UGCAGUCGAGGGGCAGCAUUGGAGUAGCAAUACUUCAGAUGGCGACCGGCGCACGGGUGAGUAACACGUAUCCAACCUGCCGCUUACUCGGGGAUAGCCUUUCGAAAGAAAGAUUAAUACCCGAUGGUAUAAAGAGUUCGCAUGUUCUCUUUAUUAAAGAAUUUCGGUAAGCGAUGGGGAUGCGUUCCAUUAGAUUGUUGGCGGGGUAACGGCCCACCAAGUCUACGAUGGAUAGGGGUUCUGAGAGGAAGGUCCCCCACAUUGGAACUGAGACACGGUCCAAACUCCUACGGGAGGCAGCAGUGAGGAAUAUUGGUCAAUGGACGAGAGUCUGAACCAGCCAAGUAGCGUGAAGGAUGACUGCCCUAUGGGUUGUAAACUUCUUUUAUAAGGGAAUAAAGUGAGGGACGUGUCCCUUUUUGUAUGUACCUUAUGAAUAAGGAUCGGCUAACUCCGUGCCAGCAGCCGCGGUAAUACGGAGGAUCCAAGCGUUAUCCGGAUUUAUUGGGUUUAAAGGGAGCGUAGGUUGACAUAUAAGUCAGCUGUGAAAGUUUACGGCUCAACCGUGAAAUUGCAGUUGAUACUGUAUGUCUUGAGUGUACAAGAGGUGGGCGGAAUUCGUGGUGUAGCGGUGAAAUGCUUAGAUAUCACGAAGAACUCAAUUGCGAAGCAGCUCACUGGGG
rnacentral:rRNA from 1 species